CCUACGGGUGGCAGCAGUGGGGAAUAUUGCACAAUGGGCGGAAGCCUGAUGCAGCCAUGCCGCGUGUGUGAAGAAGGCCUUAGGGUUGUAAAGCACUUUCAGCGGGGAGGAAGGCGGUAAGAGUAAUAUGCUUAUCAAUUGACGUUACCCGCAAAAGAAGCACCGGCUAACUCCGUGCCAGCAGCCGCGGUAAUACGGAGGGUGCGAGCGUUAAUCGGAAUAACUGGGCGUAAAGAGCAUGUAGGCGGUAAGUUAAGUCAGAUGUGAAAUCCCCGAGCUUAACUUGGGAACGGCAUUUGAGACUGGCUGGCUAGAGUUUUGUAGAGGGGGGUAGAAUUCCAGGUGUAGCGGUGAAAUGCGUAGAGAUCUGGAGGAAUACCGGUGGCGAAGGCGGCCCCCUGGACAAGGACUGACGCUGAGGUGCGAAAGCGUGGGUAGCAAACAGGAUUAGAUACCCCAGUAGUC
rnacentral:rRNA from 1 species